rnacentral:rRNA from 1 species
CCAUAUCGGCGGUGGAAACUGAUGAACUAGAGGGUGGUAGGGGUCACGGGAAUUCCCAGUGUAGCGGUGAAAUGCGUAGAUAUUGGGAAGAACACCAGCGGCGAAAGCGCGUGACUGGGCCAUUACUGACACUCAUGGACGAAAGCUAGGGGAGCGAAAGGGAUUAGAUACCCCUGUAGUCCUAGCCGUAAACGAUGGUCACUAGGUGUUGCCCGAUCGACCCGGGCAGUGCCGUAGCUAACGCGUUAAGUGUCCCGCCUGGGGAGUACGCACGCAAGUGUGAAACUCAAAGGAAUUGACGGGGGCCCGCACAAGCGGUGGAGUAUGUGGUUUAAUUCGAUGCAACGCGAAGAACCUUACCAGGGCUUGACAUGUCGCGAAUCCCCUUGAAAGGGGGGAGUGCCUUCGGGAGCGCGAGCACAGGUGGUGCAUGGCUGUCGUCAGCUCGUGUCGUGAGAUGUUGGGUUAAGUCCCGCAACGAGCGCAACCCACGUUUCUAGUUGCCAGCAUUCAGUUGGGCACUUUAGAGAGACUGCCGGUGACAAACCGGAGGAAGGUGUGGAUGACGUCAAGUCAGCAUGCCCCUUACGUCCUG